UCCCUUGGAGCCUGAGGCUGGAUAUAUUUCUUGAAAAGUUUCUGUGCCACUGAAAUUCUUUUCCUUUGUGAUGCAAUCUUCUUAUACAUUUCACAUGCAAACCAGAAUUCAAUGUUCUCAUCGCUGUAUUCUGUCUUCAGGCUGUGCCCGCUGGAAAUAAACUGAUUAGCAUCUGCUGUCAACUGAGUUCCAUUAAGUUUAACAGGGUUUACUCCCAGGGUGCCAAGGUGAAUGGAGUGUCUUCAGGCCUUUGUUAUCAAAAAGAGUUGUAUGAAAAAGAAGAGAGGGCAGCGAGGCACACCUUUCAGGAAGCACAAAUAAGCCCGUUGUUCUACUGUGUGAAAAACAAUUUCUACAGCUUUUUGGAGUGUUUUUCAAAUGGCAAAAAGCUGGCUGUGGACAGCUUCAAUUGGCUAGUAUAUAUGACAUCACCAAUACAUGCCAAAUUUGAUAAUGCGUCACAACUCUUUGGAUAAAUUAUACAUAUACAGGUCAAAAAGGAUUUUUUUUUUUUAAAAAAGUGGAAAGCCUGCAUAAAAUAUAAGAAGGGCAAGACUUGAUGGCUGAGCUAGUAUUUACUUGCUGGUGUAUGUGUACAAGACUAGUUGUGGAGUUGGGUUGAUUGAAAACCAGCUGUGCACAUUGUUGAAUGUUGUGCCUGUUUUCGCCCUUAGGCAUGGUACUGACUAUAGCAACCUUCCUCCCUGCUUGAAGUUGGAAAUAUUUCUGAAACCAAAAUUACAUUUAAGUGGUUUCUCUAAAUCUUUGUGUGCAUUAGACAAACAGAGAAGAAGCCCAAAUGUAACUUGGAAGGCUUAGACAAGGACCUAACCACAAGCUCUGUUUCUCAGUUACCUUUGUCACUCACUACUUGUUCAUUAUAAGAAAUAAUACUUUCAGAAACACACCUGUUCUUUGGGUCACCCAUGUGAAAAUCAAAGGUAGCUUACUACAAGCAUUUGAGUUUUGUUGUUGCAGAAUAAUUUUGGUUUUUGCUUUAGUUCAGUUUAGUUAGUUGAUGUAUACAUUGCUUCACACAGCUGGAAAUAGAUGUGAAGUAAUUUACAAAGACAAGACGACAACAACGACAAUGACGACUAUGACGACUACUACUACUAAUUAUUAUUAUUUCUAUCCCACCCUUCCUCCCAGAAGAAGCCCUGGGCAGCAAACAGGCAAUAAAACACUAAACAAUCUAUAAAACAUCAUGAAAACAAAACAUCUUAAAAUAAUAUACGAGGGAAGGUCUAUUAAAACAAUACAGAUCCCAUUACCACUAUCACUGUAUAGAUAUCAUGUCUGUGAGAUCAGGAUGUACAUGUGCGGAUAGUCUUUUCCUCUAAGUCAGAGGUGGAAAGCCCCAGGCCCAGCACCAUCUGUGGCCCUCUAGGCCUCUCUAUCCAGCCCUCAGGACUCUCCUAAGCCAUCCCUCUCCCCAAUCCACACUCCUUACUACCUUUGCUGUGUACCUUCCUUAAGUGUUUUUGCCUAGCUGGAAUUGGUCCCUUAUGUGUAUGAAAGGAAGUGUGUGUGUGUGUGUGUGUGUGUGUUUAGCAACUUUUGACUUUUGCGUGACUGGAAUGUAACCUGCUGUGCCAGUUAAGACUCCCAUCCAUUGCCACAUACACUAUAUCACAUCCAUUACUAGCAUGCAGCCCCUGGAAGGCUGUUAAUGAGGAAAUGUGGCCCUUGAAAUGAAAAAGGUUCCCCACUUCUGCUCUAGACAGAUUGUGGGAUGUCUACCUGGGGAAGGUAGAGUAACAUCCUCUAGUUCCAUCAACUUUAGCUUUCUGAAGGUCAGGUUUCUAUAUUUUUGUACCCUGAAAAGCACCAUGCACAUUGAUGGUGUAAUGGUAAUAGUCAUACUCAGCUAGGUGUGUUUUUAACAUAUGUAUGACACAUUGGCUGAAACUAGUUGCCCCUUCUCUCUUCUUUAUAGCUUUAUUAUAUACUUGUAAGUGUACCCAUAUACAAAACCAAUUAAAUAUUGUUUUCAGUCAACUUGCAUAAUAUAUCAUAACCACAUCUUCAUUUUUAUCUCAUAAAAUAGUAAUGGAUCUUAAAAGUUAACAUCUCAAAGUUCCAAGAAAUCUGUGUUUUCUUUAAACAUUAAAUGUUGCACUUUUAUAUAUUGUAUCUAUACAUUUUUGUAAAAUUUGCGAGAACUUACAUGGUUGUGCGUUGUUUUAUACCAAGUUAAUCCAAAACAUUACAAUGGAGCACUUCUCAAUAAAUCAUCCUUUCUUCUCUAAACCUGAUGAUAUUAUUAGUUUUGCCAUAUUCCAGACCCUCAGCGUCCACUAAAGAAAGGGCUUCUUGUUUCCAUUUAAAGCUUAAAUCACCAUUCUGGAAGUUGUUAAUGAAUGAAUGAUGAUUUCCAUAUUCUCCUGUGAAACCCUAGAUCUCAAACUACAAAAUAAUUUCACCACCACAGAGUCUAAUGGUAGAACAUAACCGGUUAUAUCUGUGAUGUUUUCAAGGAUCAUUUCACUCAAGAAUCUCUAUUUAUCCCUUCUCAUUACUUAUAUACAGUUUAAAGAAUUUUCCAAUAUGAAGGAAAAUGUUCAGACAAUACAAAAAGUCACAAUAUUGAAUAACUUCAAAUAAUAUAUUUAUCUAACAAUUAUCAUUCAUGUUAACUCACACACUUUUCCAGCUUGUGUAUGCACUUUU